rnacentral:other from 1 species
GCAUCGUUGGACUGGCGUUGUAGCUUAUAAAACUGAACCGAUACGUUUUAUAUGGAAGCCAAUUGGCUGGUGGUGUGAUUCCCUUUUUUGGGAAACCUGAAACUAGCAAGCGGCAUCCCCCUAACUUUUUAGGGUUCUGUUUUUGUAGGUUGCAACGCCAGUCCAACGACUGC